GUAAGGCUCUGCCCUCUCUACCACUCUUACUCAUUUUGGAAGAGACUUGCCUUCAUGAUCAUUAAUGCCCUAUACAUGAUCUAAUGCCAAUAUUUUCCCUGGACUUUGUAGCAACAAGCAGAAGCUGACAGUGAUGAUGACAAUUUCGAUUAUACCAUGAGUACUUCAACUUUAGGGGAGAGGCUAGCUAUGCAAGAUAAUCAAGGAACGGAUAUUGAAUAAGAGGCUGAUCAACUGCAUCAGGAGCAAGAAGUUUAGGGUGAUGCCAGUGGAUUGGAAGAACACCAUGUUGAAGAGAAAUCAAGGAUGAUUACCAGCUUCUACGUACUUGAUCGGAUACUUGCCUUUCAUAAUAAAUAAAAACUUCGAUUGAAUUAAAUAUUUCUUAAGUAUGACCUUUGUCUUGGACUCUAUGUGUAAUGCUAUCAGCAUAUUAUUGGUACUGCAUAUUGUUGCUAUACUGGUGAUUU